rnacentral:lncRNA from 1 species
UAUAAAAGAGGGACGAAAGAUACCAAAGGGACAGUCAAACUCAUAAAUCGAAAAUAAACUGACAACGCCAUGGCUAAAAAUGAAAAAGACAAACAGACAAACAAUAGUACACAUGACACAACAUAGAAAACUAAAGAAUAAACAACACGAACCCUACCAAAAACUAGGGGUGCUCUCAGGUGCUCCGGAAGGGUAAGCAGAUCCUGCUUCACAUGUGGCACCCGUCGUGUUGCUUAUGUGAUAACAAAUCCGGUAAAUAGUCUAAU